rnacentral:rRNA from 1 species
UACGUAGGGGGCAAGCGUUGUCCGGAAUCAUUGGGCGUAAAGAGCGUGUAGGCGGUCCGGUAAGUCGGCUGUGAAAGUCCGGGGCUUAACUCCGGGUCUGCAUUCGAUACGGGCAGGCUAGAGUUCGGUAGGGGAGAUCGGAAUUCCUGGUGUAGCGGUGAAAUGCGCAGAUAUCAGGAGGAACACCGGUGGCGAAGGCAGGUCUCUGGGCCACUACUGACGCUGAGAAGCGAAAGCAUGGGGAGCGAACAGG